rnacentral:lncRNA from 1 species
UGAUCACUCAUUUGGCUAUCAGAGAUUAAAACAAAAUAAAACAAAAACCAAAACCAAAACAAAAGAGAAACAACUCUAAGACAAGCUCUACUUGUAAAACAAACAAAAACAAUUAAUUGGCUUAAUUGAAAACAAACAUUCCAGUUAAUAGAAAAAUAGAAACUUGGCAUUGUAAGAUAGCGACUACAAAAACAGGUUUAUUGUUACUUAAUUAACUUUGUGAUGUAACUUCUCUCCCACCUAAGUAUAGAUUGAUACAUGAAACUAAGUUUCUGUUACUCAUGAAUAUUUUGUUGACUAUUAUAAUGUAGAGAUAUUGGUUUAGAUCCCACACUGGAAAAAAAAAAUACCUAUAGGCUACAGGUUUGUCUUCAAGAUUUA